rnacentral:rRNA from 1 species
CCUACGGGCGGCAGCAGUGAGGAAUAUUGGUCAAUGGACGAGAGUCUGAACCAGCCAAGUAGCGUGAAGGAUGACUGCCCUAUGGGUUGUAAACUUCUUUUAUAUGGGAAUAAAACGUUCCACGUGUGGGAUUUUGUAUGUACCAUAUUAAUAAGGAUCGGCUAACUCCGUUCCAGCAGCCGCGGUAAUACGGAGGAUCCGAGCGUUAUCCGGAUUUAUUGGGUUUAAAGGGAGCGUAGGUGGAUUGUUAAGUCAGUUGUGAAAGUUUGCGGCUCAACCGUAAAAUUGCAGUUGAAACUGGCAGUCUUGAGUACAGUAGAGGUGGGCGGAAUUCGUGGUGUAGCGGUGAAAUGCUUAGAUAUCACGAAGAACUCCGAUUGCGAAGGCAGUUCACUGGACUGCAACUGACACUGAGGCUCGAAAGUGUGGGUAUCAAACAGGAUUAGAUACCCGAGUAGUC